ACAACCACAGUGACUACAGUUGUCACAACAACCACAGUGACUACAGUUGUCACAACAACCACAGUGACUACAGUUAUCACCCAAAGCACAAUUCCCAACAAUCCUCUCUUGUACCCUACACUCAUCCCGUCCCUGGUCGUGAUACCGUUGCUGCUUGUCUGCAUCUGCUGCUGCAAGAGGAUCGUCAAGGAGCCACCACCAGCCCAGAAACCAGAAAAAAAGCCAUGCCCUGUACAGACCAGGGUGAUUGUCUCCUGCUGUGGGUGCCAAGAAGACAGGAUGAAACAGAUGGAGGGAAAACUGGAUACUUUUUAUGACUUUGUCCAGCGCUGCAGCCAGCUGCCAUUGAUGUGGUGUCCGCCCAGGGACAUGGGGAGGUGCAUCAACUUCACCUUAAUGAAUCCCCACUGCACACAAAUGUUCUGCGGCCCAAAGAUCUGCCUUCAACCCAGCCAGGAGUGCUUCCCCCUCAGUAGCUGCUGUUCACAUAGUCAACAUCUCCCACCCAUAUGCUCUCAGUCACUCUCCAGGAUGCUGCCGCUGAUCCCUCGUACUGCCCGGAAGCUCUGCAGAAGUACUUUGUCACUCCCACCCCCGUAGCCCAACAUCUAAAUCACCAAAACACAAAAUUGUUAAGAGCCCCUUUUGUACUGAAUUGGACACAUAUAUUGUGUUUGGGUUUCCAGUCAAAAGGAGUUGGGAUUUGUUGUUGAUUAGCAAGAGAGUUUGUUACCUGGUGAGCACUGCUCCACUGUAUGAGAUGCAGCUAUACUGCUCCUGCCAGAACAAAGCACCCUGGUGUCCUGUGGAUGUAGACAUGAUGAGUCUCAUUCCCCACAGACAGGUCUUCAUCUGUCACCAUGGGUUGAGAUA